GCUCUUAAGGCUCAGCUCCUCCGCCGCCGCUGCUGCUGCUGCUGCUGCUGCUCCUGCCACCAUCACAAUGAUCAAGUGCUCUCCUCCUCCUCCUCCUCUCUCUCCUCCACCUCCUCGUCCAUGCCAGCGGAGUGAUAUCAGGACAAGAGAGCUCAGUAAACACAGCAGCAGCAGCAGCAGCAGCAGCACAAGAAGCAGCAGAAGAAGCAGCAGCAGAAGCAGCAGCAACAGCAGCAGCAGCAACUCGAGGCCGGGAGGCAGACCCGAGGACAAGAACUGUGCAUGACCAGGCAGAAACACUGAAGCUUCCCAGCGGUUGUCUGUCAUCCCUAGCCAUGUGGAAAGAAAGGGGUAAACGAGGCGGAUUAUUUGUAAAGCUCCAGCUAAUGAAGUCUCCCCGCUUUUAAUAAUUAGCGUGCGGACACUUGCUGAAACUCCAGCCUUCCGAAGCAGAUGCCGGACCCUAGGCAGAUGUGGGAAAGAAUCAAGGAAACCGGAAGAUUUAUUUGAUUUACAGUACGUAAUAACAGUUGUUGUUGUAAUUAAAGCGAUUAUUUUUUCUU